rnacentral:precursor_RNA from 1 species
GGCGUCGCGGGGCCGAGCCCGCCCCCUUCUCCGGACUCAGGUGCGGCCGGCCCCGCGCGCAUC